UACGGAGGGGGCUAGCGUUGUUCGGAAUUACUGGGCGUAAAGCGCGCGUAGGCGGAUCUGCAAGUCGGGGGUGAAAUCCCGAGGCUCAACCUCGGAACUGCCUUCGAUACUGCGGGUCUCGAGUCCGGGAGAGGUGAGUGGAAUUCCUAGUGUAGAGGUGAAAUUCGUAGAUAUUAGGAAGAACACCAGUGGCGAAGGCGGCUCACUGGCCCGGUACUGACGCUGAGGCGCGAAAGCGUGGGGAGCAAGCAGG
rnacentral:rRNA from 1 species